rnacentral:rRNA from 1 species
GAUGAACGCUGGCGGCGUGCCUAAUACAUGCAAGUCGAGCGAACGGACGAGAAGCUUGCUUCUCUGAUGUUAGCGGCGGACGGGUGAGUAACACGUGGAUAACCUACCUAUAAGACUGGGAUAACUUCGGGAAACCGGAGCUAAUACCGGAUGAUAUUUUGAACCGCAUGGUUCAAAAGUGAAAGACGGUCUUGCUGUCACUUAUAGAUGGAUCCGCGCUGCAUUAGCUAGUUGGUAAGGUAAUGGCUUACCAAGGCAACGAUGCAUAGCCGACCUGAGAGGGUGAUCGGCCACACUGGGACUGAGACACGGUCCAGACUCCUACGGGAGGCAGCAGUAGGGAAUCUUCCGCAAUGGGCGAAAGCCUGACGGAGCAACGCCGCGUGAGUGAUGAAGGUCUUCGGAUCGUAAAACUCUGUUAUUAGGGAAGAACAUAUGUGUAAGUAACUGUGCACAUCUUGACGGUACCUAAUCAGAAAGCCACGGCUAACUACGU